rnacentral:rRNA from 1 species
GACGAACGCUGGCGGCGUGCCUAAUACAUGCAAGUUGAGCGCUGAAGGUUGGUACUUGUACCAACUGGAUGAGCAGCGAACGGGUGAGUAACGCGUGGGGAAUCUGCCUUUGAGCGGGGGACAACAUUUGGAAACGAAUGCUAAUACCGCAUAAAAACUUUAAACACAAGUUUUAAGUUUGAAAGAUGCAAUUGCAUCACUCAAAGAUGAUCCCGCGUUGUAUUAGCUAGUUGGUGAGGUAAAGGCUCACCAAGGCGAUGAUACAUAGCCGACCUGAGAGGGUGAUCGGCCACACUGGGACUGAGACACGGCCCAAACUCCUACGGGAGGCAGCAGUAGGGAAUCUUCGGCAAUGGACGAAAGUCUGACCGAGCAACGCCGCGUGAGUGAAGAAGGUUUUCGGAUCGUAGAACUCUGUUGGUAGAGAAGAACGUUGGUGAGAGUGGAAAGCUCAUCAAGUGACGGUAACUACCCAGAAAGGGACGGCUAACUACGUG